GAUGAACGCUGGCGGCGUGCUUAACACAUGCAAGUCGAACGAUGAAGCCCAGCUUGCUGGGUGGAUUAGUGGCGAACGGGUGAGUAACACGUGAGUAACCUGCCCUUAACUCUGGGAUAAGCCUGGGAAACUGGGUCUAAUACCGGAUAGGAGCGUCCACCGCAUGGUGGGUGUUGGAAAGAUUUAUCGGUUUUGGAUGGACUCGCGGCCUAUCAGCUUGUUGGUGGGGUAAUGGCUCACCAAGGCGACGACGGGUAGCCGGCCUGAGAGGGUGACCGGCCACACUGGGACUGAGACACGGCCAAGACUCCUACGGGAGGCAGCAGUGGGGAAUAUUGCACAAUGGGCGCAAGCCUGAUGCAGCGACGCCGCGUGAGGGAUGACGGCCUUCGGGUUGUAAACCUCUUUCAGUAGGGAAGAAGCGAAAGUGACGGUACCUGCAGAAGAAGCACCGGCUAACUACGUG
rnacentral:rRNA from 1 species